UACGGGGGGGGUAAGCGUUGUUCGGAAUUACUGGGCGUAAAGGGCUCGUAGGCGGCCAACUAAGUCAGACGUGAAAUCCCUCAGCUUAACUGGGGAACUGCGCCUGAUACUGGAUGGCUUGGAUUCGGGAGAGGAAUGCGGAAUUCCAGGUGUAGCGGUGAAAUGCGUAGAUAUCAGGAGGAACACCGGUGGCGAAGGCGGGUCUCUGGGCCGAUACUGACGCUGAGGAGCGAAAGCGUGGGGAGCGAACAGG
rnacentral:rRNA from 1 species